rnacentral:rRNA from 1 species
AUUAAACGCUGGCGGCAUGCCUUACACAUGCAAGUCGAACGGUAACAGGUUAAGCUGACGAGUGGCGAACGGGUGAGUAAUAUAUCGGAACGUGCCCCGUCGUGGGGGAUAACUGCUCGAAAGAGCAGCUAAUACCGCAUACGACCUGAGGGUGAAAGCGGGGGAUCGCAAGACCUCGCGCGAUUGGAGCGGCCGAUAUCAGAUUAGGUAGUUGGUGGGGUAAAAGCCUACCAAGCCAACGAUCUGUAGCUGGUCUGAGAGGACGACCAGCCACACUGGGACUGAGACACGGCCCAGACUCCUACGGGAGGCAGCAGUGGGGAAUUUUGGACAAUGGACGCAAGUCUGAUCCAGCCAUGCCGCGUGCGGGAAGAAGGCCUUCGGGUUGUAAACCGCUUUUGUCAGGGAAGAAACGCUCUGGGUUAAUACCUCGGGGUAAUGACGGUACCUGAAGAAUAAGCACCGGCUAACUACGUGCCAGCCGCCGCUGUAAUAC